AGCUACUUGGGAGGCUGAGGCAGGAGAAUCCCUUGAACCUGGAAAGCGAAGUUUGCAGUGAGCCGAGAUUGUGACACUGCACUCCAGCCUGGGCAACGCACCGCGACUCUGUCUCAAAAAAAAAAAAAGAGUUUAUCUUACAACACACAGGAGAAAUGAGUUAGUUCUUUAGAUCAGAGGUCCCCAACCCCAGGACUGCGGACUGCCACUGGUCUUUGGCCUGUCAGGCACCCGGCCACACAGCUGGAGUGUGAAAAAAAAGGAAAAAACUGAAAAUCUCAAGAGGAUUCCAGGAAAUCAAAACAAUGAAUUAUUGAAUCAAGAAUUUGAAAGAGAAAAUAGAUGCAUACUGAAAAAAGAAUUUUGUUUAGUGAGAUAGAUGUAAUAAUGAAGGCAUGUUGAUAACGGGGGAGCUAUGUAUAUAUGAGGGGAGGGAUAUAUUGGAAAUCUCUGUAUCUUCCUCUCAAUCUUGCUGUGAUCCUAAAACUGCUCUAAAAAAUAUUUUGAGAAGGAAUAAUGAUGUGGUAAACAUGUUCUGUUAUUUAAAAAGAGAGACUUUUCAUAGCCGCCUCCCUCCCCCUCUACACACACACAGAGUCCUGUCCGUCUUCAUUCCCUUACUCAAUAAUUUGUACAGACACAGCCACUGGGCUCCAGUAAUCCUAAAGUUUCUAGAAAAUCAAGCACAGAAAAAGGUUAAAACCCUGAGGGAAUAAAAGAAUUCCUUUGCAUCCAUUGCAUUUCUCAGGAAGUGAACUAACAAAUUCACUGCUUUUAAAUGAGGAAAUUUUCUCAGUGAAAUUGAUUCCAAACCUUCGUUAGGUCAACUGUUCCCAGAUUUCUUAGCUGAUGCCUGAUCUGACUAUUCCUUAUCUUUAGUACAGAAACCAAGGUGAAUGACCUUUAAAAAACAUAUUAGACUGUUGACGUGUCUUCUAUGUUGUACUCUAGGUAAAAACGAUAAACCAGGAAAAAGAAAGUAAAAUUCAACCUUAGGCUCAUGGAUCCAGAGUGGAUAAUUAUGAGUCUGUAGUAUCUACAUGCAUGUGAUGAGGUUCAAGGACAAUAACCAUAAAGCAAAGACUUAAAAGGUUUUAUCAUUAGAAUAAUUGUAAUUCACUUGAUCUCUCAAUGUAACAAUACUUCGGUCUACUGUCUCAAGCCAUUAUUAUGUCUUACACUCAGCAUAUUGGUUUGUCUACCAUUAAAUAUUUAUUUUCUACAGUGCUUUCUGGAAGGCAAACAAAGCAGCCACUCUGCUACUUUAUAUUGAUUCCUGAGUUGUCCUUCGGAAACGCUUUCAGGAAGUUUAAUAGGUUUGAAAGAUAUUUAGACCUGUGACUGGCAAAUAUACUUCCUUCUUUUUAUUUCAAUAAGAGAGUACUAGAACUUAGAUCUUUAUUGUUUAAUCUAGUCAGUGCUGUCAUUGUCAAUCAAGUUCUCAAAUGACACUUGUCCUGAGCUGUAACUGAUCUAUUCAGAAGAAUAUGAAAAUAGUAAAGACGGCAACUAUGCAUGUUUUUACCGGACACGAUUUUAAUUGCUUUAAAAUGAAGUUAUGCAACCAAUGAGGAAUGGAGCUUUUGGAGUGGCCUGAAGCUAAAGGUUUCAGGUGUAUUUUUGCUUUCUUUGAAGAAAGAACCAAAUCAUUUUAUUUAAUAAAAAGGCCAUUUAUCAAGAAUUUCUUAAAGCUGUUUUAAACCUGAGUUUGCAAUUUAUAGAAUAUGUUCAAGCAGCCUCAGUGCCCUUUUAAUUGGAUGGUUUUCACAGAUUUAUCCAAUUUGAGAUUUAUCCAGUGAGAAUUCCCUUUGUUCAAGUAUAUAUGUCUUCUCUUCCAUAAAGCAGAUUCAAAUGAAAGAGUGCAAUCUGAUAUAUCAGACAUGUCAGUUAUACAUUUGAUGUGGUAAAUUUAUAAGAGAGGCCAAUUAUUGUUAUGAAAAAAUACAAUGAAAUACAUGAUAGUCAUUUACUGUUUUUAUAACUAAUCUAAAAGUAUUUACUAAAAAGAAACUAUUUCUUUUCAUAUGUACUUUACUUUUUACUUUAACCCUUCAUAUGUCCUUUAAAUAAAGAGAAGAAAAAAAGUCAUUUAUAUUUAUCCACAUAUUUUCUAUUUCAGGUGGUCCUCAUUCAUUCUUGUAGAUCCAAGUUACCAUCUGUUAUUAUUUUCUUUGUCACCUGAAGAAUUUUCAGAACUAUUUCUUCCUAUAUGUAGCAUGUAUAGAUACUCUAAAAAGUCCAUUAUAUGAUGUAUAAAACAAAGCAUACAAUGUAGUCUCUGCCCUAAUUAUUUGUAAUUUAUAUAAAACCUUUUAUUUUUUAUUUUUAAUUGUUUAUUUUAUUUUGUUUUGUUUUAUGUUUUUG
rnacentral:lncRNA from 1 species